rnacentral:rRNA from 1 species
GUGGGGAAUAUUGGACAAUGGGGGGAACCCUGAUCCAGCCAUGCCGCGUGUGUGAAGAAGGCCUUUUGGUUGUAAAGCACUUUAAGCGAGGAGGAGGCUACCGAGAUUAAUACUCUUGGAUAGUGGACGUUACUCGCAGAAUAAGCACCGGCUAACUCUGUGUCAGCAGCCGCGGUAAUACAGAGGGUGCAAGCGUUAAUCGGAUUUACUGGGCGUAAAGCGCGCGUAGGUGGCCAAUUAAGUCAAAUGUGAAAUCCCCGAGCUUAACUUGGGAAUUGCAUUCGAUACUGGUUGGCUAGAGUAUGGGAGAGGAUGGUAGAAUUCCAGGUGUAGCGGUGAAAUGCGUAGAGAUCUGGAGGAAUACCGAUGGCGAAGGCAGCCAUCUGGCCUAAUACUGACACUGAGGUGCGAAAGCAUGGGGAGCAAACAGGAUUAGAUACCCGUGUAGUCC